rnacentral:piRNA from 1 species
GAGGAUGAUGUGGCAUGAACAGCU